GAUGAACGCUGGCGGCGUGCUUAACACAUGCAAGUCGAACGGUGAAGGCGGAGCUUGCUCUGCUGGAUCAGUGGCGAACGGGUGAGUAACACGUGAGCAAUCUGCCCCUGACUCUGGGAUAAGCGCUGGAAACGGCGUCUAAUACUGGAUACGAGCUGCGAAGGCAUCUUCAGCAGCUGGAAAGAAUUUCGGUCAGGGAUGAGCUCGCGGCCUAUCAGCUUGUUGGUGAGGUAAUGGCUCACCAAGGCGUCGACGGGUAGCCGGCCUGAGAGGGUGACCGGCCACACUGGGACUGAGACACGGCCCAGACUCCUACGGGAGGCAGCAGUGGAGAAUAUUGCACAAUGGGCGAAAGCCUGAUGCAGCAACGCCGCGUGAGGGACGACGGCCUUCGGGUUGUAAACCUCUUUUAGCAGGGAAGAAGCGAAAGUGACGGUACCUGCAGAAAAAGCGCCGGCUAACUACGUG
rnacentral:rRNA from 1 species